AAAAAUCAGAGGAGAGUGUCACCAGCAGGAAAGCCAAGGCAGUGUACCCAUGUGAGGCUGAGCACGACUCUGAGCUCUCCUUCCAGGUCGGCGCAAUAUUCAACGCCGUGACCCAGUCGAGAGAGCCGGGCUGGCUAGAGGGGGAGCUGGAGGGAAAGAGGGGCCUCAUCCCUGAAAACUAUGUGGAGAUGCUGUAGCCCCACACGGAAAUAUUUAUGGACAAGUUUUCACCUUCACUGGGAAAAGAAUGUGGAGAUGCAUGUGCCUCAACUCCAAAAUUCACAGAAAAGCCUUGUUUAUCCCCCAGAAAAAACCUCUCAAGCAAGUGAUGUAUGUUAUUAGUGGUGGACUAUUCUUGAUACAUAAGUCUAUGCAUUUUGCCUGGCUAGUAGACUUUGUGAUGCAUGUGCAAGCAUGUUUCUUUGUUUGGAUUUACUUCAGCUGAGUAUUCCCAGUGAAUUUCAGCAUUGUAAUUCCAAAAUGGGUUUGCACUUAACAAUGUUCUGCUGUAUACAAAGAUGCUGUAGCCUCUAAACAUUCAAGUGACUUUGUAGCAGCACCAGAGAAAGAGUGUCUCUCUGAUGAAGGCCUCGCUCUCUCCUCUGCCCCGUUAUACAUGGUAUCCAUGAGCUCCUCAAGUCAAACAACGAUUCUCAGAAACCAUAAGGUAGAAUGUCAGCACUCACAUCACUGCAGCUUUUCACCCUCUUGACAAUGAUGCACGCAAAUUAGUUUUUAGUCAUUAAAAGAUAAGCCAUACCUACGUGCCUUAAUCACCAGAACACCCAAGUAUAAAUGUAUGUACGGGUAUGUAUGAAACUGAAUUGGAGUGUUACUGCUUUCACAAUGUUUCAUUUCUGGCAUUUUUAAAAUUAUUUAGAUACUAUUAAUGGGGCACAUUGCUGCUGUAAUUUUAUUCUAUUUAAUUGGCACAAUGAUUGCAUGACUUUUGAAUUUCAAAUACACUCUGUACUGUUUUGUUUUUGGUACACUUCUUUACAGAAACACAGUGAAACACCUCUUUGAUGCCGGAUGAACCCUCAUGUGUUAAACACUAGCAUCAGACAGAUUCAACAGAGGUAAAUGUCAGUAGAUAGCAAUGAUUGAAACCAAGUGUUUUUCCUGUCAAAUUAUCUGUUAAUGUUCGUUUUAAAGUUUAUUUUUAACGUUGCUCAGCUUCCUCUGAGCAGAGAAAUGAGACACUCCCACACAGUUGAAAUUUUAGUUUGAAUUUUUAUCCUUAUUUUAUCUUCAACUUCGGUGGAGGAAGUGAUUAGACGUUCCGUUCACUGUAUAUAGCCUGAAAGAGUUAUGACUGCCAAGUAUAUUACACAAAUCUCCGUUAUGUGAUGGACAGGUUUUGACUUUUUAUCAAACUUGUUUAAGCAUGUACACACCAAACAUUACACGUCAUCCCUCAGCUGUUCAACAGUACACUUUAAUUUUUCUGAGAGCUUUGGUUCAGCAGAUUGUUUGUGUUUUGAGUUGCGGUUGCAAUAAUUUAAAGACAAUGAUUCAUGACAUUUGUAAAGGGCCUUGACUUCUUUCAUUUUUAUACCUUUGGGUAUCUUCUUGAUCAAUGUUAAACAAAUAAAGAUUUCUUUUUGUUCUUUACA